rnacentral:rRNA from 1 species
GACGAACGCUGGCGGCGUGCCUAAUACAUGCAAGUCGAACGCUUCUUUCCUCCCGAGUGCUUGCACUCAAUUGGAAAGAGGAGUGGCGGACGGGUGAGUAACACGUGGGUAACCUACCCAUCAGAGGGGGAUAACACUUGGAAACAGGUGCUAAUACCGCAUAACAGUUUAUGCCGCAUGGCAUAAGAGUGAAAGGCGCUUUCGGGUGUCGCUGAUGGAUGGACCCGCGGUGCAUUAGCUAGUUGGUGAGGUAACGGCUCACCAAGGCCACGAUGCAUAGCCGACCUGAGAGGGUGAUCGGCCACACUGGGACUGAGACACGGCCCAGACUCCUACGGGAGGCAGCAGUAGGGAAUCUUCGGCAAUGGACGAAAGUCUGACCGAGCAACGCCGCGUGAGUGAAGAAGGUUUUCGGAUCGUAAAACUCUGUUGUUAGAGAAGAACAAGGACGUUAGUAACUGAACGUCCCCUGACGGUAUCUAACCAGAAAGCCACGGCUAACUACGUGCCAGCCGCCGCGGUAA